rnacentral:rRNA from 1 species
UACGUAGGGGGCAAGCGUUGUCCGGAAUUAUUGGGCGUAAAGCGCGUGUAGGCGGCUUGUUAAGUCGGGUGUGAAAGCCCUCAGCUCAACUGAGGAAGGGCGCCCGAAACUGGCGAGCUUGAGUGUCGGAGAGGAUGGCGGAAUACCCCAAGUAGAGGUGAAAUUCGUAGAUAUGGGGUGGAACACCGGUGGCAAAGGCGGCCAUCUGGACGACAACUGACGCUGAGACGCGAAAGCGUGGGGAGCAACAGG